rnacentral:rRNA from 1 species
GGGCUCACACAAGCGGUGGAGGAUGUGGCUUAAUUCGAGGCUACGCGAAGAACCUUAUCCUAGUCUUGACAUGUAUGGAUUAACCCUGUGAAAGCAGGGCCACGCCUUCGGGUGGAACAUACACAGGUGCUGCAUGGCUGUCGUCAGCUCGUGUCGUGAGAUGUCGCGUUAAGUCGCUUAACGAGCGAAACCCUUGUCUCUAGUUGCCAGCGCGUAAAGGCGGGGACUCUAGAGAGACCGCCGGCGUUAAGCCGUAGGAAGGUGGGGAUGACGUCAAGUCCUCAUGGCCCUUAUGACUAGGGCUGCACACGUCCCUACAAUGGAACGCACAAAGGGAAGCGAAACCGCGAGGUC